GGGCGAGUGGCGGAAUUGGCAGACGCGACGGACUUAGGAUCCGUUGGGUAACCCCCGUGGAGGUUCAAAUCCUCUCUCGCCCA
rnacentral:tRNA from 1 species